rnacentral:pre_miRNA from 1 species
UAUUCAUCGAGCAACUUGGUUGGCCACGCGUAUUCUUGGGUUAUUAACACACUGUUUAUGUUGUUAUUGCUUGAGAAUACACGUAGUUGACAAGUGUUUCACA